GCUCCAUUAGCUCAGUUGGUAGAGCAACGUGCUUAUAACGCGGAGGUCGGCGGUUCGAGCCCGCCAUGGAGCA
rnacentral:tRNA from 2 species